rnacentral:sRNA from 1 species
CUACAAGCAUUGUGACUACAAUUUCAACACCAAUCAUGAUACAGAUAGAAGGAUGGUGAAACCUUACAUCUACAUAUUCUAGUAUAAAUGUUGAAAAAGUACUAGUAUUCUAUGUGAAAUAAUGGAUGAUGCCAACCAUAGAGAGCAUAAAUACACCCCGCAGGGAUGAGUCUUCAAAUACAACUUGAUCCGGUUACCUGAUGAUAUGGCAUAUAGGGCAACCAUGUUGGAAGGAAAGGAAUGAGGAGUUUCAUCAAAAGGAUUGGAUUGCAGCAAGUUGAGAAGACUACUAGUGGUUGAAGGAUAAAGGGCGAUAUAGCAGAUGGAUGAGUUUGCUUGUUAUUGUUCUCUUAUUUUUAUAUGGUUGUUACCAUACAGGUACAUAUUUUAAUAAGGAAAUCAGGGUCCAAAUUUUGUAAUUAAUUAUUAUUGCGUUUUAAAGGAUUUGAGUGAGGGGGCCUGGGCAGCGCAAGACUGAUUUCCCCUGACCACAGGGUUUCUUGCAAAAAAUUACGGACUUGCUCUCGACCAAAUGCGGCGCGACCUGUGAAAGAUUAACUCUAGCGUUUCUGAAGACGAAAAAUAACUCAGCAAGCACAGUAGAGGAUAGAUACCAGAAGAAUGAUACGAUUCAGGA